UGGGGAAUAUUGGGCAAUGGGGGCAACCCUGACCCAGCAACGCCGCGUGAAGGAAGAAGGCUUUCGGGUUGUAAACUUCUUUUACCAGGGACGAAGGACGUGACGGUACCUGGAGAAAAAGCCACGGCUAACUACGUGCCAGCAGCCGCGGUAAUACGUAGGUGGCAAGCGUUGUCCGGAUUUACUGGGUGUAAAGGGCGUGUAGGCGGAGCUGCAAGUCAGAUGUGAAAUUCCGGGGCUCAACCCCGGAACUGCAUUUGAAACUGUAGCCCUUGAGUAUCGGAGAGGCAGGCGGAAUUCCUAGUGUAGCGGUGAAAUGCGUAGAUAUUAGGAGGAACACCAGUGGCGAAGGCGGCUUACUGGACGGUAACUGACGUUGAGGCUCGAAAGCGUGGGGGAGCAAACAGGAUUAGAUACC
rnacentral:rRNA from 1 species